AUAGUACUCUCUCCGUCCGGAAAUACUUGUCGCACAAAUAGAUAAAAAUGAAUGCAUCUAAAACUAAAAUAUGAAUAGAUACAUCCAUUCCUUGGACAAGUAUUUCCGGACGGACGGAGUAUGCG
rfam:Triticum aestivum genome assembly, contig: Triticum_aestivum_CS42_TGACv1_scaffold_049465_1BS